rnacentral:rRNA from 1 species
GACGUAGGGCGCGAGCGUUGUCCGGAUUUAUUGGGCGUAAAGAGCUCGUAGGCGGCUUGGCAAGUCGGGUGUGAAACCUCCAGGCUCAACCUGGAGACGCCACUCGAUACUGCUAUGGCUAGAGUCCGGUAGGGGACCACGGAAUUCCUGGUGUAGCGGUGAAAUGCGCAGAUAUCAGGAGGAACACCGGUGGCGAAGGCGGUGGUCUGGGCCGGCACUGACGCUGAGGAGCGAAAGCGUGGGUAGCAAACAGG